CGGCGUGCCUAACACAUGCAAGUCGAGCGAUCUUCGUUCGGAAGAGAGCGGCGGACGGGUGAGUAACGCGUGGGUAACCUGCCCCAUACACAUGGAUAACAUACCGAAGGUAUGCUAAUACAAGAUGAUAUAAGAGAUUCGCAUGGAUUCUAUCAAAGCUCCGGCGGUAUGAGAUGGACCCGCGUCUGAUUAGCUAGUUGGUAAGGUAAUGGGCUUACCAAGGCGACGAUCAGUAGCCGACCUGAGAGGGUGAUCGGCCACAUUGGAACUGAGACACGGUCCAAACUCCUACGGGAGGCAGCAGUGGGGAAUAUUGCACAAUGGGCGAAAGCCUGAUGCAGCAACGCCGCGUGAGCGAUGAAGGCCUUCGGGUCGUAAAGCUCUGUCCUCAAGGAAGAUAAUGACGGUACUUGAGGAGGAAGCCCCGGCUAACUACGUG
rnacentral:rRNA from 1 species